rnacentral:rRNA from 1 species
UUGGAGGGCAAGUCUGGUGCCAGCAGCCGCGGUAAUUCCAGCUCCAAUAGCGUAUAUUAAAGUUGUUGCAGUUAAAAAGCUCGUAGUUGAAUUUCGGGGUUCUACCGUUGGUCGGGCUAUUGUCUGUACUGGCGUGUAGAAUUUCUACCUUCUGGGGAACUAUCAUGUUAUUAAUUUAGCGUGGUAGGAAACCAGGACCUUUACCUUGAAAAAAUUAGAGUGUUCAAAGCAGGCUUAUGUCUGAAUACAUUAGCAUGGAAUAAUAAAAUAGGACGGUGGUCCUGUUUUAUUGGUUUCUGAAUCACCGUAAUGAUUAAUAGGGAUAGUUGGGGGCAUUAGUAUUCAAUUGUCAGAGGUGAAAUUCUUGGAUUUAUUGAAGACUAACUACUGCGAAAGCAUUUGCCAAGGAUGUUUUCAUUAAUCAAGAACGAAAGUUAGGGGAUCGAAGACGAUCAGAUACCGUCGUAGUCUUAACCAUAAACUAUGCCGACUAGGGAUCGGACGAUGUUAACUUUUCUUGACUCGUUCGGCGCCUUACGGGAAA